CCCAGACUCCUACGGGAGGCAGCAGUGGGGGAUAUUGCACAAUGGGGGGAACCCUGAUGCAGCGACGCCGCGUGGGUGAAGGAGCGUUUCGGCGCGUAAAGCCCUAUCGGCAGGGAAGAAGGAGGACGGUACCUGACUAAGAAGCCCCGGCUAACUACGUGCCAGCAGCCGCGGUAAUACGUAGGGGGCAAGCGUUAUCCGGAUUUACUGGGUGUAAAGGGGGCGCAGACGGCAGCGCAAGCCAGGAGUGAAAGCCCGGGGCCCAACCCCGGGACUGCUCUUGGAACUGCGCGGCUGGAGUGCAGGAGGGGCAGGCGGAAUUCCUGGUGUAGCGGUGAAAUGCGUAGAUAUCAGGAGGAACACCGGUGGCGAAGGCGGCCUGCUGGACUGCAACUGACGUUGAGGCCCGAAAGCGUGGGGAGCAAACAGGAUUAGAUACCCCCGUAAA
rnacentral:rRNA from 1 species